UGCAGUACAGGAGGAUGGAUUUUGAAGAAUUUUGUGCUGCUGCAUUAAGUGUUCAUCAGCUUGAGGCUUUUGAUCGUUGGGAACAACAUGCACGUUGUGCCUAUGAAAUCUUUGAGAAGGAAGGCAAUAGGGCCAUUAUGAUAGAAGAAUUAGCUUCGGAACUUGGUCUUAGCCCUUCGGUUCCUGUCCAUGCUGUUCUACAUGACUG
rnacentral:misc_RNA from 1 species